GUUGAAAGUCCUUCAGAAACUUUCUUCUUCGGGACAGACGGUGGUGAGAAUUAGGGUAGCCAUGGUCUUCUAUCUCUGCAAUGAAUGAGAUCGAGCAACAAUGGAGAUUUUUCAAAUCGUGUAAGAUGAAUCGUCCUCAAGAACCUUGGUAUCAAGUCGCCGUCGAUUCAUAUUUGGUCCUUCACCCCCAGACGUUACGAGUUGUAUUCAUUCAUCGACUUUAAGUGAUGUCUUAACUUCACCGAUCCAAAUCAAGCACGACGUCUCAUUCAAUGAUACUCUUUCCUACUUUAAGGCGGUUUUCUGUACCUAUAAAAGGGUGUAAUGGAUAAAUCAUAUGUUCUUCUUGCUGAUUUGAAGCCUGGCCUCUGUUCCUCCACCACUGAGGUGUGACUGCUCAGAUUCUGGGAAGGAGAAACAUGUAACGGUGGUGAGCUGAUGGAUACUCCUCCUUGAUGCAAUGUUAUUUCGUUAUUAAACGUCAUGUUCAUAGCAGUUUUAAACUCUUCCGAUUAGACUCUCAUGCCAGCCACCGUGAAUGUCAACCGUCUCGCCACCUGCAGACACCGGCUCAAGGCGGUUCAAAAAUGUUCGCCUUUAGCGGUUUGGAUAUGACUCGGUACAAUCAGAGCUUCAGUAGAAUUUUUGGUUCCAAAUCCUGAAACUGUAAGUUUUGAUUCCCUUACAAAAAGCUUUGCUUAAAAUCUCUUUAAUUCAUAGCUGGUCUUUUUGAGAUAUAUUACAUGUUUAAAGAACAUCAGCUUGAAAGAAUAUAUAAACUCUACAAUAGUUGACCAAUCAUAUCAUUUUUAUAUACUGUCGAAUACACUCUUUCCAUCACGAACAUGUAAACCUGGAUUAUGUAUACGCUGCUGUUGAUGAUUCUGAGGUAUGAUUUUCUCCGCAAUUCUUUGUCCCCCAUUUGUUGCUGGUUGGCAUUGUGUAUAUAAUGGUCUAUGUGACAUAAUACAUUUCAGGAACAAAAAGAUGCACUUGAUGGAACAUGAGACACGGAUCCACUGUCUUUUAAAUGCUAUCUCAAAGCCUGAACCAACUCUUUUUGACCGUGGAAAGGACUACAUGAAGCAUCAGACCAGAUUCAUCUCAAAGAAGCCAGCAAACGUAGUUCUUUAAAGCAUGGAAGUUGUGUCACAGUCCAUGGGGGCUUUAAGAAGCACAUUCAAAAUUAUAAAAUGAUAGUAGAAGGAUUAUUUGCAAAUAAGUCGUCUCAAUUCUACGUCAUUCUAUAACUUUUCUUUAGUCAACGAUGUUUUACAGCUCUACAACACGUUUUGUAUCAAACUGGAUGACAUCAUCUGGAAGCCACCAGAUGCAUCCGUGAGAAAUCGAGCCACCAAGUCCAAGAGUAAAAGACGUUGAAUCCAUGUUUUAUUUAAAGUAGAGUUUUCUGAGUUCUUAACUGCUUUAGUCUGAAUUAAUAUCAUGCUAAUUUUUCUAUAGUUACACACUAUGAACGAUAAAGAGGAAACAGUGAGAUUAGAAGUUAUAACGUA